CUCUCUCUCUCUCGCGCUCUCUCUUUCUUUUUUCAUAUAUUUUCAUACACUUCCAUACACGAACCAUCUUGGGUUUUUUCUUUUGUCAAUUUGUGGUUCGAACAGUAAUUAAAAUGCUGUUAGUUUGAUUAUACAUAUGUGUCAUCAAAGUCUGAAAGCAAAUCCUGUGUAAACCAGAAUCUCUGGAUCGAUUUAUGAUGGUUCAGAUAGAAUAUUUAUUAUAAGCCCACCAACCAUGAACAGCUUAAUAGUUUUCCUCGUACCUUCUCUUUUUUGUGCCAUGUGAUUUCAAUCUUAUCUGAAACGAAGAAGAAGAAGAAGAAGAAGAAGAAGAAAGAAGAAAAAUCUACCAAAUGGUCUGAGAGGAGUGAUUGGUGGCGAGAUUUGGGGUAUAGUUAGCCGCCGCAAUCUCUUAUUAUACGAAUCAAAUAUCUUUCA